AACUGAUACUACCUGCGGGAACCUGCGGAGGGAUCAUUACUGAGUGAGGGCCCUCUGGGUCCAACCUCCCACCCGUGUUUAACGAACCUUGUUGCUUCGGCGGGCCCGCCUCACGGCCGCCGGGGGGCAUCCGCCCCCGGGCCCGCGCCCGCCGAAGCCACCUGUGAACGCUGUCUGAAGUUGCAGUCUGAGAAAAUUAUUAAAUUAAUUAAAACUUUUAACAAUGGAUCUCUAGAUCGG
rnacentral:misc_RNA from 1 species